UACGGGGGGGGCAAGCGUUGUUCGGAAUUACUGGGCGUAAAGGGCUCGUAGGUGGCCAACUAAGUCGGACGUGAAAUCCCUCGGCUUAACCGGGGAACUGCGUCCGAUACUGGAUGGCUUGAGUUUGGGAGAGGGAUGCGGAAUUCCAGGUGUAGCGGUGAAAUGCGUAGAUAUCUGGAGGAACACCGGUGGCGAAGGCGGCAUCCUGGACCAACACUGACACUGAGGAACGAAAGCCGGGGGAGCAAACGGG
rnacentral:rRNA from 1 species